AGUGAACGCUGGCGGUAGGCCUAACACAUGCAAGUCGAACGGCAGCACAGUAUGAGCUUGCUCUUACGGGUGGCGAGUGGCGGACGGGUGAGGAAUACAUCGGAAUCUACUUUUUCGUGGGGGAUAACGUAGGGAAACUUACGCUAAUACCGCAUACGACCUACGGGUGAAAGCAGGGGAUCUUCGGACCUUGCGCGAUUGAAUGAGCCGAUGUCGGAUUAGCUAGUUGGCGGGGUAAAGGCCCACCAAGGCGACGAUCCGUAGCUGGUCUGAGAGGAUGAUCAGCCACACUGGAACUGAGACACGGUCCAGACUCCUACGGGAGGCAGCAGUGGGGAAUAUUGGACAAUGGGCGCAAGCCUGAUCCAGCCAUACCGCGUGGGUGAAGAAGGCCUUCGGGUUGUAAAGCCCUUUUGUUGGGAAAGAAAAGCAGCAGGUUAAUACCCCGCUGUUCUGACGGUACCCAAAGAAUAAGCACCGGCUAACUUCGU
rnacentral:rRNA from 1 species